GUUAGGAAUAUUGGACAAUGGACACAAGUCUGAUCCAGCCAUGCCGCGUGAGUGAUGAAGGCCUUCGGGUUGUAAAGCUCUUUAGCCGAUGAUUAUAAUGACUGUAGUCGGAAAAUAAGCCCCGGCUAACUUCGUGCCAGCAGCCGCGGUAAUACGAAGGGGGCGAGCGUUAUUCGGAAUCACUGGGCGUAAAGCGUGCGUAGGCGGUUUUGUAAGUUGGGAGUGAAAGCCCAGGGCUCAACCCUGGAAUUGCUCUCAAAACUACAAGACUUGAAUUCGGGAGAGGAUAGCGGAAUUGUCAGUGUAGCAGUGAAAUGCGUAGAUAUUGACAGGAACACCAGUGGCGUAAGCGGCUAUCUGGACCGACAUUGACGCUGAGGCACGAAAGCGUGGGGAUCAAACAGGAUUAGAAACCCCUGUAGUCC
rnacentral:rRNA from 1 species